rnacentral:tRNA from 1 species
GUUUUCAUAGCUCAGUUGGUUAGAGCACUUGUUUAGUAAGCGGGAUGCCUUAAGUUUUUGAAGGCAGGAUGUUUUAAGUUGAAGUCUGAAUGAAAGCA